UAAUAGCUCACUGGUCGAGUCGGCCUGCGCGGAAGAUGUAACGGGGCUAAACCAUGCACCGAAGCUGCGGCAGCGACACUAUGUGUUGUUGGGUAGGGGAGCGUUCUGUAAGCCUGCGAAGGUGUGCUGUGAGGCAUGCUGGAGGUAUCAGAAGUGCGAAUGCUGACAUAAGUAACGAUAAAGCGGGUGAAAAGCCCGCUCGCCGGAAGACCAAGGGUUCCUGUCCAACGUUAAUCGGGGCAGGGUGAGUCGACCCCUAA
rnacentral:rRNA from 1 species